AUUGAACGCUGGCGGCAGGCCUAACACAUGCAAGUCGAACGGUAGCACAGAGAGCUUGCUCUCGGGUGACGAGUGGCGGACGGGUGAGUAACGUCUGGGAAACUGCCCGAUGGAGGGGGAUAACUACUGGAAACGGUAGCUAAUACCGCAUAACGUCGCAAGACCAAAGUGGGGGACCUUCGGGCCUCACACCAUCGGAUGUGCCCAGAUGGGAUUAGCUAGUAGGUGGGGUAAUGGCUCACCUAGGCGACGAUCCCUGGCUGGUCUGAGAGGAUGACCAGCCACACUGGAACUGAGAGACGGUCCAGACUCCUACGGGAGGCAGCAGUGGGGAAUAUUGCACAAUGGGCGCAAGCCUGAUGCAGCCAUGCCGCGUGUAUGAAGAAGGCCUUCGGGUUGUAAAGUACUUUCAGCGGGGAGGAAGGCGGUGAAGUUAAUAACUUCACCGAUUGACGUUACCCGCGGAAGAAGCACCGGCUAACUCCGUGCCAGCCGCCGCAGUAA
rnacentral:rRNA from 1 species